rnacentral:snRNA from 1 species
GAAUGAUACGGAGAAGAUUAGCAUGGCCCCUGUGCAAAAUGAUAUGCACAUUUGGAUGCAUUCCAAACUUU